rnacentral:rRNA from 1 species
UACAGAGGUCUCAAGCGUUGUUCGGAAUCACUGGGCGUAAAGGGCGCGUAGGCGGCGCGGUAAGUCACUUGUGAAAUCUCUGAGCUUAACUCAGAACGGCCAAGUGAUACUGCAGUGCUAGAGUGUGGAAGGGGCAAUCGGAAUUCUUGGUGUAGCGGUGAAAUGCGUAGAUAUCAAGAGGAACACCUGAGGUGAAGACGGGUUGCUGGGCCAACACUGACGCUGAUGCGCGAAAGCCAGGGGAGCAAACGGG